UGCGGUAUCCUGACCGUGCUAAGGUAGCAUAAUCAUUUGCCUUUUAAUUGAAGGCUGGAAUGAAUGGAUUUACGUAAAUAAAGCUGUCUCUACUAUACAAAUAAAAACUAGACUCUAAGUGAAAAUACUUAGAUAAAAAUAAAGGACAAAAAGACCCUAUAGAGCUGUAUUUAUAAAAACACAUAAAGUACUAUAUACUUAACACAUUUUAUAAUAAAUUUUGUUGGGGCGACAUAGGAAUAUUAAAAUCUUCCUUAAAUAUAAAGAAAACAAUUCUUACAAAAGAUCCUAAAAAGAUCAAAGGAAAAAGCUACCUUAGGGAUAACAGACUAAUCUCCUUAAAGAGUCCAAAUUGACAAGGAGGAUUGGCACCUCGAUGUUGGCUUAGGAA
rnacentral:rRNA from 1 species